rnacentral:rRNA from 1 species
UACGAAGGGUGCAAACGUUGCUCGGAAUUACUGGGCGUAAAGGGCUCGUAGGCGGCCAACUAAGUCAGACGUGAAAUCCCUCGGCUUAACCGGGGAACUGCGUCUGAUACUGGAUGGCUUGAAUCCGGGAGAGGGAUGCGGAAUUCCAGGUGUAGCGGUGAAAUGCGUAGAUAUCUGGAGGAACACCGGUGGCGAAGGCGGCAUCCUGGACCGGCAUUGACGCUGAGGUGCGAAAGCGUGGGGAGCAAACAGG